rnacentral:tRNA from 1 species
UCCUGGAUAGCUUAAAUGGUAAAGAAUAUGCCUGAAAUGCAGGAGACCUGGGUUCAAACCCUGGGCCAGGAA